rnacentral:rRNA from 1 species
AGAGCGAACGCUGGCGGCAUGCUUAACACAUGCAAGUCGCACGGUCGGAGCGAUCCGGCAGUGGCGGACGGGUGAGUAACGCGUAGGAAUCUAUCCUCAGGUGGGGGACAACGGUUGGAAACGACUGCUAAUACCGCAUGAUACCUGUGGGUCAAAGGCGCAAGUCGCCUGGGGAGGAGCCUGCGUACGAUUAGCUAGUUGGUGGGGUAACGGCCCACCAAGGCGACGACGGGUAGC